rnacentral:rRNA from 1 species
UCCUACGGGAGGCAGCAGUAAGGAAUAUUGGACAAUGCUCGCAAGAGUGAUCCAGCCAUGCCGCGUGCAGGAAGACGGCCCUAUGGGUUGUAAACUGCUUUUGAACUAGAGAAAACCCCCCUUCGUGAAGGGGGCUGAUAGUAUAGUUAGAAUAAGCAUCGGCUAACUUCGUGCCAGCAGCCGCGGUAAGACGAAGGAUGCAAGCGUUAUCCGGAUUCAUUGGGUUUAAAGGGAGCGUAGGUGGAUUUGUAAGUCAGUGGUGAAAGCCGGCAGCUUAACUGUCGAACUGCCAUUGAUACUGCGGAUCUUGAGUAUGGUUGCUGUGGGCGGAAUAUGACAUGUAGAGGUGAAAUUCAUAGAGAUGUCAUAGAACACCGAUUGCGAAGGCAGCUCACAAAGCCAUUACUGACACUGAGGCUCGAAAGUGCGGGGAUCAAACAGGAUUAGAUACCCUGGUAGUCCGCACUGUAAACGAUGAUUACUCGCUGCUAGGAGGUAACUUUUAGUGGCUAAGCGAAAGCGAUAAGU